UGAGCAAUCUGCCCUUCUCAUCGGAAUAAGCGUUGGAAACGACGUCUAAUGCCGAAUACGACCUCCUUUCGCAUGAUCGGAGGUGGAAAGCUCCGGCGGAGAAGGAUGAGCUCGCGGCCUAUCAGCUAGUUGGUGUGGGUAAUGGCCCACCAAGGCGACGACGGGUAGCCGGCCUGAGAGGCUGACCGGCCACACUGGGACUGAGACACGGCCCAGACUCCGUAGGGAGG
rnacentral:rRNA from 1 species